ACUUUCCUCACUCCCGUGAAGU
rnacentral:miRNA from 1 species